rnacentral:rRNA from 1 species
AGGGUUUGAUCAUGGCUCAGAUUGAACGCUGGCGGCAGGCUUAACACAUGCAAGUCGAGCGGUAACAGGGGAGCUUGCUCCUGCUGACGAGCGGCGGACGGGUGAGUAACGCGUAGGAAUCUACCUAGUAGAGGGGGACAACAUGUGGAAACGCAUGCUAAUACCGCACACGCCCUAAGGGGGAAAGGAGGGGACUUUUCGGAGCCUUCCGCUAUUAGAUGAGCCUGCGUAAGAUUAGCUAGUUGGUAGGGUAAAGGCCUACCAAGGCGACGAUCUUUAACUGGUCUGAGAGGAUGACCAGUCACACUGGGACUGAGACACGGCCCAGACUCCUACGGGAGGCAGCAGUGGGGAAUAUUGGACAAUGGGCGGAAGCCUGAUCCAGCCAUGCCGCGUGUGUGAAGAAGGCCUUAGGGUUGUAAAGCACUUUCAGGGGUGAGGAAGGGUAGCUAGCUAAUACCUAGUUAUCUUGACGUUAGCCCCAGAAGAAGCACCGGCUAACUCUGUGCCAGCCGCCGCGGUAAUAC